GAGCGGCGAACGGGUGAGUAACACGUGGGUAAUCUGCCCUGCACUCUGGGAUAAGCCUUGGAAACGAGGUCUAAUACCGGAUACGACUCUUGGUGGGCAUGCGNANGGGUGGAAAGUUCCGGCGGUGCAGGAUGAACCCGCGGCCUAUCAGCUUGUUGGUGGGGUAACUGCCUACCAAGGCGACGACGGGUAGCCGGCCUGAGAGGGCGACCGGCCACACUGGGACUGAGACACGGCCCAGACUCCUACGGGAGGCAGCAGUGGGGAAUAUUGCACAAUGGGCGAAAGCCUGAUGCAGCGACGCCGCGUGAGGGAUGACGGCCUUCGGGUUGUAAACCUCUUUCGCCAGGGACGAAGCGAGAGUGACGGUACCUGGAGAAGAAGCACCGGCUAACUACGUGCCAGCAGCCCGCGGUAAUACGUAGGGUGCGAGCGUUGUCCGGAAUUAUUGGGCGUAAAGAGCUCGUAGGCGGUUUGUUGCGUCGGCCGUGAAAACUUCACGCUUAACGUGGAGCUUGCGGUCGAUACGGGC
rnacentral:rRNA from 1 species